AUUGAACGCUGGCGGCAGGCCUAACACAUGCAAGUCGAACGAGUGGCGGACGGGUGAGUAAUGUCUGGGAAACUGCCUGAUGGAGGGGGAUAACUACUGGAAACGGUAGAUAAUACCGCAUACUAUCAGAUGGGCCCAAAUGGGUUGAGCUAGGAGGUGGGGUAAAGGCUCACCUAGGCGACGCUCCCUAGCUGAUCUGAGAGGAUGACCAGCCACCCUGGAACUGAGACACGGUCCAGACUCCUACGGGAGGCAGCAGUGGGGAAUAUUGCACAAUGGGCGCAAGCCUGAUGCAGCCAUGCCGCGUGUAUGAAGAAGGCUUUCGGGUUGUAAAGUACUUUCAGCGGGGAGGCGUUACCCGCAGAAGAAGCACCGGCUAACUCCGUGCCAGCAGCCGCGGUAAUUC
rnacentral:rRNA from 1 species